GAGAGGUGUAUUAGCAGCCGCAGUCAUACAGCGCCCUGCCUCUCAGCUCCACUCCCAGAAACUACUCCCGCCCGUAGGAAGAGGGAAGCAAUACUCGCCGUGUCAGCAUUCCGAGGAUGCAGUGAAGAGGUGCUGUCACAUCUGGUGACUCCCACAUGUGUCAGCAGUGACCUACUGACAGAUACAACGAAAACCUCAGCCGCUCAGGUUUUAGAAGACAGAUUGGGGGAGAUUGAACGGGCAUGGGAAGUGUCAACAUUUUAACUCAGAGAGCAAGACCCCUGUGACUGCAAAGCCUACUGAAGCUGAAUCAAUGAGGAUCUAUCUGGUGACUAGUGAUAGAGGAAACACCACAAUAUCUACAAUUGAAGCACUCUUUUUUUGGAUGACAGAAUGUUUAUUGCUUGAUAGCAAUAAAGACAACUAUAUUUGAUCAGGCAUUGCAGUUAAGACCUUAAGCUUGCACUGAUAAAUCCACAACCUGCAAAAGCCAGAUUAGAUAUAGCUUGAGUAUUAUCCCCUUCAGGACCAUUGCCUUAUAUAACAGUACCAGGAAGAGUUAUACUUUAAGAGGAUGAGAUGGGUAUGAGCCCUUCAGUGUACAUCGUUCAUGUUAUGCUGAGGCUUGGUGCCGAUCAUCCUUUGUGAGAUGCCUGAGACUGAGUUAGACCUAGUCUGUGACAGCAUGAGUAAACAGAGAAGUUGAUCGCCCUUACCAUUGCUGUGUGCUACAAACAUUUGUUUACUUAUAGUGAAGCCUUAUGCAUUGGUGAGAGGCACAGGCCUUCAAGGCUGUCAUAUUUCCGGCUGGAAGGAUUUGAUUGAAGGGCUCCUGGUGCCAUUACCUGGGAAAAGAGCUAAAUCUUUUCUCUUAAACCAUCCAUCUGUAAUGAGAUGUCACUAAAGCAUUAGGCAAACUUCAGCCUCAUGGGCAGUAUCUUCAAUGCGGAGGGAAGCAUUCACCACAUGCUGCUUCUGGUUUGCAACAAGUCCAGGGGUCUUGCUGACCAGCUGACCAUUUAAUAUGAUGCCAGAACCAAAGACCAUGGAACAUAUUGUACCCUGGAGUGAACAUUUCCUGCUCAUGUUUCCCAUAUGUUUUCUUAAGUCGGUCCUGCAACAUCUACUUGCAUCAAUAAUAAAAUGUCUUACGGAUGAUAGUUGAUUCCGUACCUUAAAGACAAUGACAAAUGUGACAUUGAGUCUGAAUGUACCACUUCACUUGAGGUCACUGUGUAAUGGAACCCAGACCAUGUGUGGAAGUCUGGGAUAUUAAAGCAAUGUAAA